ACUCAAAUGAAUUGACGGGGGCCCGCACAAGCGGUGGAGCAUGUGGUUCAAUUCGACGCAACGCGAAGAACCUUACCUGGGCUCGAAAUGGAGUGGACUGAGGUAGAAAUAUCUCUUCCCCGCAAGGGGCUGCUCUAUAGGUGCUGCAUGGCUGUCGUCAGCUCGUGUCGUGAGAUGUUGGGUUAAGUCCCGCAACGAGCGCAACCCUUAUUGCCAGUUGCCACCGGGUCAAGCCGAGCACUCUGGCGAAACCGCCCUAGAUAAUGGGGAGGAAGGUGGGGAUGACGUCAAGUCCUCAUGGCCUUUAUGUCCAGGGCUACACACGUGCUACAAUGGUCGGUACAAACCGUCGCAAACCCGCGAGGGGAAGCUAAUCGGAAAAAGCCGGCCUCAGUUCGGAUUGGAGUCUGCAACCCGACUCCAUGAAGCUGGAAUCGCUAGUAAUCGCGGAUCAGAACGCCGCGGUGAAUACGUUCCCGGGCCUUGCACACACCGCCCGU
rnacentral:rRNA from 1 species